AUUCAACUUUUCUUGAUUUGAUGUAAACUCAGCAAAUGUGGCUACCUCGACUCCAUUCACCUUCUUACAAAUGAGGUAGUAUAAAUUUCCUUCUUUCAACCCUUUGAAGACCUUGUCUCCACUCAAUGUUCUUACAAAACAUUCAUUCUUGUCAAAUUAAACUUUAAAACCUUCCAUUACAAGUUUACUCACCGAAAGUAGGUUUUGCUUCAUCUUAGGCACAUGAAGGACGUUUUUGAAUCUGAUCCUAUUA
rnacentral:lncRNA from 1 species